rnacentral:rRNA from 1 species
CGAGGAUUUCCAAAGUAACGGCGAGUGAACUGGAAAGAGCUCAACGCUGAAUCGCACGGCAAACCUGUCGUAGCGAACUGUAGCGUAUAAGCGUAACUGCAUCGAUGACUAACCACACACACUCAAAGUUCCUUUGACUGGGGCAAGUUCCAGAGAAGGUGCAAGGCCUGUAUGAGUGGUUGGCAGUUGUCGAUACUGGUUAUUGCUGUAGAGUCGAGUUGCCUGAAACCGCAGCUCAAAGUUGGUGGUAAACCUCAUCUAAAGCUAAAUACGACUUCGAGACCGAUAGCGAACAAGUACCGCGAGGGAAAGUUGCAAAGAACUUCGAAGGGAGAGUUCAAGAGGACGUGAAACCACUAGGGGGGAAGCGGAUGGAGUUAACAGCAUAAUGAUGGCAUUCAGCCAAUGGUAUUUAUACAUCUGCUAUACGCUGUGUUUCCGGUAACAACGGACACUGGUAUGCAUGCCUAUCGUAUGUAUCAUUGGUGUUUUUGCCAUCAUUGGCGCGCUGAGGCGCUUAGAGUGAUGUGUUGCAGUAGAUUAGUAGAGGACUGCGCUGUUUAUCAAUGCAGAACCCUAUAAUUUACUAAUGCAUAUUCGCUACAAGCGUUGCAAGUACUGGUCCUACCCGCUACGGCGCAUCAGCACAGCUAUGACUGCACCGAUGCUUGUCAGUGACACUGUCACUGAGCCUGUUGUCGAAGUGCGGCCGUGGUUGUGUUUGAUGCGUUGGUAGAGACUGAACCUCG